rnacentral:rRNA from 1 species
GACGGACGCUGGCGGCGUGCUUAACACAUGCAAGUCGAACGGAAAGGCCCCAACUUGCUGGGGUACUCGAGUGGCGAACGGGUGAGUAACACGUGGGUGAUCUGCCCUGCACUCUGGGAUAAGCCUGGGAAACUGGGUCUAAUACCGGCUAGGACCGUGCUUUAGUGUGUGCGGUGGAAAGUUUUUCGGUGCAGGAUGAGCGCGCGGCCUAUCAGCUUGUUGGUGGGGUAAUGGCCUACCAAGGCGGCGACGGGUAGCCGGCUUGGGGGGGGGGACGGCCACAUUGGGACUGAGACACGGCCCAGACUCCUACGGGAGGCAGCAGUGGGGAAUAUUGCACAAUGGGCGCAAGCCUGAGGCAGCGACGCCGCGUUGGGGAUGACGGCCUUCGGGUUGUAAACCGCUUUCGGCAGGGACGAAGCUUUUGUGACGGUACCUGCAGAAGAAGCACCGGCUAACUACGUG